rnacentral:lncRNA from 1 species
CAAAGAGCAAGUUGGAGAAACCUGAGGUUCAGGUUAAACUUACGACUAAGUCCUCCAGCAGGUUUUGAAGAAUCUUCAGGAAGUAAAUUUGAAAAGACAUGGAAAGAUUCCAGCUUCUCAGAUAAACGUGCUUCUGUAAACUCUUAUGAACUUGCUUACAGCAUCUGGGUUGAGAUCAAGAGUUAUAUCCUCUCCCUGGGAACUGAUGUCUUGGCCUUAUUGAGAGGUUAGGGCUUGGGAUGUAAUGGUAGAGUUCUUUUCCAGUCCCAAGAGAAUCAGCUGCUCUGCUCUGACCUCACUCACACACAUAAACACACACACACACCCUACAAUCAAAACCACAAUGAGAC